ensembl:lincRNA
CGAGUCCCACAUGGGCUCUCUGCUCGGCGGGGAGCCUGCUUCCCUCUCUCUCUCUACCUGCCUCUCUGCCUACUUGUGAUCUCUGCCUGUCAAAUAAAUAAAUAAAAUCUUUAAAAAAAAAAAAAAUCUGAAACAAAACCUAGGCACUCAGUGAUUAAGUGAUGCCUGUAACUGUAUGACAGAUCAGCAAUUUUGUCAUUUCUAUAUUCCCAGCUUGGAAUCUAAUAUAAAAGAAAUACUUCACUACUUUGUUCUAAAUCCCGUCUGAUCCAAUCUGGAAUAAAUAUAUUGUUGUGGGUUUCUUAAUAGGAAAAAAAGAAAAUAAUAACAUCUUUGACAGAAUUAAAUCGUCGUUUCUGCAAAAAGAAACUUGGAAUUCACCUUUGGUCUACUUCUUAUCUUUGGCGUAUUUUCUAUUAAAAAGACUUCUAGAUUUUAGUGGCUGCUUCGCUUUGGUUAUCUAAGCUGUAAUAAGUAGCCUUGGGACCCCCGAAGGCACACCCCACACACUUAUGCUGGGUGACCUAAGGUCACAAGUAAUGGCUGCAAGCUAAUUGAUUGAGAAAGGCUUGUCUGGCGGGGCCUCUCUGCGUCCUCCCCUUACAUUCCUGACUUCUGGGAGAGAGGCACUAGCCGCUCAGCGAGCAAGGAAGGAAAAAAGAGAGGAAGUUUCUCUGCGUUCCGAUUCCUCUCUGAAUUCCCUGGUAGUGAGCUUCCUUCUCUCCACCCACUUCUUCCCAAGAACUCCUUAAUUUGAAGGUGAACCACCUAAAGCCUGAUCCCAGAGACUUCCCCGAAAGGUGAUUUGAGUGUUUAUUGAACCGAAAGAACAAAUUACCUACUUGAGGCGGUGGGCAGCCUAUGGAGAUUAUAUUAGAACUUCAGCAAAGUGCACAGCUGCCUAAGACAGAAGCCGGGACUCAGACGGACAGGCAAAUAAGCCUGCUCGUGGAAGGGGCCUCUGGGUGGCAGCUCUGGGCUAUUGGGUGUUGGACAACCCUAGGCAAAACAGAAAUGGAACAGGGGCAGAAAAUAGCACACUUGUACGCUACGCAACUGUUGCUUUCGCAUGGCUAUCGAGGAUUACAAUGGCCCUGUAAAGAGAUGACGCAGACAAAACAGGCAUCCUUGAAGAUUAAUAAGAGACCUAUUCAGUCACCUAUAAAGGGAAAAACAGAUUUAAAUUACUGUAGUUCACUGUUUGGGGCUCAUUCAUCUUACUUUUUUGCAGCUAUAGUGAGAUACAAUGAUAAUUAAAAUAUCAAUGUGGAAAAGACAGGACUUCCUUGUUUAUGACAAAGAGAAGUUGUAAAUAGUUUUGAUAGUGUCAUAAAGAUGGCAAAAGGGAAGUUGUGCCAGGAUCAUGGAGCAGAAAGGCAUUGCAAGCUUAUGAUGAUACCAAAAAUAGCAAGUGAUGAAAAAAAAGUAUGACAAUAUUUAAUAAGUGUUUUGAUAUUUUUAAUGACUACUUCAGGAAAUGAACACUAUUGAGUAGACAAGUAUAAAGCUAUUUAAGAUAUUAAAUUAAAAUGCAAAGACCAAGAAUUGAUUGCACCAGAUUGCACCAUAUUAAAGGGGAAAAAAAUGAAGUAGCUAUUUUAGAUAAAGCCUUAAAGUAGAUCUAUUUUUAAAAAUCAUAACUAUCCUGAAUUAAUACAAGUUAAGUUGGGGUAGAUUCAAACCAGGGACUUAAAAUUCGUACUCUGAAAUACAUGAGCGUGAAGUUUAUCUAAAAAUUGCUUAGAUAAAUAAUAUGUUUCCAUGAGAAAAGUUCAUAUAAAUAAAAAAAGUCAGUGUGAAAAACUAUAGUUAAAUUAGGCAAGUUGGGACUUCUUGUAUUAUAAUUCAGUUUUCAUUUGGAGAAUGCCAGAAAAAAGAAUCUUAUGUGUUUCUUAAGCUCUAAAAUGCACAAAUAUUUCAUUUUUCUUACCAGCAGAGAACAACAUAGGAAAAAGGAACUUCUGGGGGUACAUGGCAUUUUUGCCCGUGAUUAACCACUUAACAUGCAGUGUGGACAUUGCAACUAACUUAAUCAUCAUGAAGCAGGCAGUUACAGUUUUUCAUUUGUUUAUUUGUUAAGAUAGAUUAAUAAUACAAUUAAUAAUAAAAUUUAUUUGUUAAUGACAGAACGUGUAUUCUUAGGACACUAUCAGUAAUCAUUUUUAGUUGGAAAAAUGUUUUGCUAGACUUAUUUAGGUGUGCUGCUUUUUUUGCCCCAAGAAAUUGUAUAGUCCUUCAUAAAAGAAUUUUUCCCAUUAGUCAAAUAUUGUAGGAAGAGAGAAAGCAAAGAAGAGAAAUAAAAGAUGGGGAAUAAGUACGUAAAACAAGGAGGGGAAGAUCUUUACAAAAGAUUAGGGAACCACUUCAUAAAGAGGAGAAAUGGGUAGUAGAGAUCAAGAGAAAUGCCAAAACCAUUUUGUUGAUAUGGCCAUAUACUGGCUAUCUACAGGAGAGCUUCUAAGUGCCACUGGACAUUUGUGAACAUUUGUGUGUGUGUGUGUGUGUGUGUGUGUGUGUGUGUAGAAUGGGGGAAUGAAGGGAAGGGAGGCAUUGGUAUUUAUUUUUUUAUUCUGGGUCAGUUUCCUAUUGGAUACAGUUACCACAGUUAAGAUUUUUUAAGAAAAGGAAAAGACUUUUGCAAAUAUGUUUUACUUUUGCAAAUAUAUUUCAUACAACACAUCCGAGUUUAUCCUACAUAUAUUUUGAUACAAUUUGUCAACCCAUAGUCCUCAAGAAGCAGAAUCAGUGGUUGAUAAUUAUUGUGCAUCUGUGGUUGAUUAACUCAGUUGGUUGAAUCACGGAGCUAAUGAGGCGAAAGCCUAGGUUUGCUCCCCAUGUGGGCUGGUAAGUUUUUCUCUCUUCCUGAGCUACAGACUACCGUUCAGACUCAGGCCAACUACCCCAUGGUUGCAUGCUACUGACCAUAAGGACAUUGGACAUCCAACAACAUGCCUGGAAAAAUCCCCAACUACACACCGUUAUCUGCUUCCUAAUGAUUUAGCAGUAAUAUUCAUGAAGCAUCAAUUAUGUACUCAGUAUUGCUACAAAGAAUUCACAGGAAAUUUUCUGUGGCCUAAGGACACAUUAAGGAAUAAGCAAUACUAAGAAUUAUGUAAAGAGAACAUAUGGAAAAGAGACUAAUUCAUAACUGCCAAUUGGAUGUACUUCAAAUUGCAAGUGAAGCAAAAUUCCACAUGUUGAUUUUUUUUUUCUUCAACAGCUAAGUGUCUUAAUUUAAAAGAUCUAAUAAAAAAAAAAAAAAAAACCCAUAGGCUGGCGUCCCUUGAGUUCUGAACCAACCAUGAAGUAAGACAAAGAAUGGGAAAGAAGAGGCAGACCGAAGGUGAAAAUAUCAUAUUUAUUGUGGGUAAAGACUACAUUAGAGAAUGUAGCUUAUCUCUGUAGGUGAAUCAGAACUUACUCAGCUAUUCAGACUAGAAAAACCAGGUCUCCCCUGUGGGACAGGCUCCAUUUUGUUGCCUGAUAGCUCUUUUUGUAGGACGGUCAUCCCGCAAGAAAACAAGGCAGCAAGGAGGGUUGCUUUAUGCAUGGAUAGUUUUUUCUUGCAGACCUGUCAAUCAGAUUGGGUCACUGGGAAGACUGACUAACAGGAGAGAGGCUGGAUUGUUCUAUAUGAAGAGAACAUCGGCAAUGAAAAAGAAUUCCUGCCACCCCCAACCUCACCUACACAAAAUCUUUUCAAUUGAAUAAAUGGCCAGUGUAAGAUGAACAAGGGGGAAAAUGCCAGAAAGUACAAUGUACUAUGUACAUUGUAGUACACAAAUACUCUUGAAAUUUUAGAGAGUGUAGCUUGUAGUGGGUUGGUGCUUCCUCUGGUCUCCCAAAUUUCUGAGAGUGGAUGGGUCACAUCAUUGUGACCAUAAACAUGGUCAUAAAGAAAUGCUUGAAUAGGAAAUAUCUGCAUACCAUGAUGGAAAAGUCAUAUGCAAGGUAAAUAUUUUGGUGAAAUAAUUCAUUUUACUGAUUUGCUAUCACAAUGUAAAUUUAAUCUAAUGAAAUAUCCCCAUGAAAAUGUAUCUUUUCACUGUGUGCCAUGUUCACUCUUGAGGAUUUGCAAUACAAUGAUGCAUUUCAGCCAUUGAGUGUUUGGCUUUAUCAAAGUGUUUCCCAUACUUUUAAUAAGGAAUGCCUUUGUAGCUGGUGUUUGGUUUUUUUUUUUUUUGUGUGUGUGUGUAUCUUUUUUCAUCCUUUACUUUCAAGCCAUCUGUAUUUUACAUUAAUGUCAUUUUUUUUUCUUUUUUUUUUAAAUUUUUUAUUUUUUAUAAACAUAUAUUUUUAUCCCCAGGGGUACAGGUCUGUGAAUCGCCAGAUUUACACACUUCACAGCACUCACCAAAGCACAUACCCUCCCCAAUGUCCAUAACCCCACCC